GAGUUUGAUCCUGGCUCAGAUUGAACGCUGGCGGCAUGCCUUACACAUGCAAGUCGAACGGCAGCAUGAUCUAGCUUGCUAGAUUGAUGGCGAGUGGCGAACGGGUGAGUAAUACAUCGGAACGUGCCCUGUAGUGGGGAUAACUAGUCGAAAGAUUAGCUAAUACCGCAUACGACCUGAGGGUGAAAGUGGGGGACCGCAAGGCCUCAUGCUAUAGGAGCGGCCGAUGUCUGAUUAGCUAGUUGGUGGGUAAAGGCCCACCAAGGCGACGAUCAGUAGCUGGUCUGAGAGGACGAUCAGCCACACUGGGACUGAGACACGGCCCAGACUCCUACGGGAGGCAGCAGUGGGGAAUUUUGGACAAUGGGCGAAAGCCUGAUCCAGCAAUGCCGCGUGUGUGAAGAAGGCCUCGG
rnacentral:rRNA from 1 species